CAGCCGCCGCGGGAAUACGUAGGUGGCAAGCGUUGUCCGGAAUUAUUGGGCGUAAAGCGCGCGCAGGCGGAUCGGUCAGUCUGUCUUAAAAGUUCGGGGCUUAACCCCGUGAUGGGAUGGAAACUGCCAAUCUAGAGUAUCGGAGAGGAAAGUGGAAUUCCUAGUGUAGCGGUGAAAUGCGUAGAUAUUAGGAAGAACACCAGUUGCGAAGGCGACUUUCUGGACGAAAACUGACGCUGAGGCGCGAAAGCCAGGGGAGCGAACGGGAUUAGAUACCCCUGUAGUCCCUGUCUCUUAUACA
rnacentral:rRNA from 1 species